UCGGAAUCUGUAAAAUCCAUAAUUCUAGGUUAGGUUUUGAAUGUGGUGAAAAGUAUCAUAAUUUUGUACUUUUAUCAAUUUUUUUGCUAGUAGAUUUAUUACCUGAAUGAAAUAAUGUCUAUUGAAGUAUUUAAAAUGUUUGUAAUAGAUAAUUCGUGUAUGUUAGGGAUAAUACUAUUUUUCUUAUGGUUGGAGUACAUUUGGGAGCUGUACUUAUCAAUUAGACAGUUCCUGUUAGCUAAUAGAACGGAAAAUGUACCAGAUGAUUUGAAAGAGGUAAUGUCCCAGGAAACAUU